rnacentral:rRNA from 1 species
UACGUAGGGGGCAAGCGUUGUCCGGAAUCAUUGGGCGUAAAGAGCGCGUAGGCGGUCCGGUAAGUCGGUUGUGAAAACUGGGGGCUCAACCCUCAGAGGCCGACCGAUACUGUCGGGCUAGAGUCCGGAAGAGGCGAGUGGAAUUCCUGGUGUAGCGGUGAAAUGCGCAGAUAUCAGGAAGAACACCCGUGGCGAAGGCGGUUCUCUGGGACGGUACUGACGCUGAGACGCGAAAGCGUGGGGAGCGAACAGG